GCAUUGGUGGUUCAGUGGUAGAAUUCUCACCUUCCACGUGAGGGACCAUGAUUCAGUUCCUGGCCAAGGCA
rnacentral:tRNA from 1 species